GGGACACGUGGUAUCCUGUCUGAAUAUGGGGGGACCAUCCUCCAAGGCUAAAUACUCCUGACUGACCGAUAGUGAACCAGUACCGUGAGGGAAAGGCGAAAAGAACCCCGGCGAGGGGAGUGAAAAAGAACCUGAAACCGUGUACGUACAAGCAGUGGGAGCACCUUCGGGUGUGACUGCGUACCUUUUGUAUAAUGGGUCAGCGACUUAUAUUCUGUAGCAAGGUUAACCGUAUAGGGGAGCCGCAGGGAAACCGAGUCUUAACUGGGCGUUAAGUUGCAGGGUAUAGACCCGAAACCCGGUGAUCUAGCCAUGGGCAGGUUGAAGGUUGGGUAACACUAACUGGAGGACCGAACCGACUAAUGUUGAAAAAUUAGCGGAUGACUUGUGGCUGGGGGUGAAAGGCCAAUCAAACCGGGAGAUAGCUGGUUCUCCCCGAAAGCUAUUUAGGUAGCGCCUCGUGAAUUCAUCUUCGGGGGUAGAGCACUGUUUCGGCUAGGGGGUCAUCCCGACUUACCAACCCGAUGCAAACUACGAAUACCGAAGAAUGUUAUCACGGGAGACACACGGCGGGUGCUAACGUCCGUCGUGAAGAGGGAAACAACCCAGACCGCCAGCUAAGGUCCCAAAGUCAUGGUUAAGUGGGAAACGAUGUGGGAAGGCACAGACAGCCAGGAUGUUGGCUUAGAAGCAGCCAUCAUUUAAAGAAAGCGUAAUAGCUCACUGGUCGAGUCGGCCUGCGCGGAAGAUGUAACGGGGCUAAACCAUGCACCGAAGCUGCGGCAG
rnacentral:rRNA from 1 species